rnacentral:rRNA from 1 species
GACGAACGCUGGCGGCGUGCUUAACACAUGCAAGUCGAACGGAAAGGCCCUGCUUUUGUGGGGUGCUCGAGUGGCGAACGGGUGAGUAACACGUGAGUAACCUGCCCUUGACUUUGGGAUAACUUCAGGAAACUGGGGCUAAUACCGGAUAGGAGCUCCUGCUGCAUGGUGGGGGUUGGAAAGUUUCGGCGGUUGGGGAUGGACUCGCGGCUUAUCAGCUUGUUGGUGGGGGAGUGGCUUACCAAGGCUUUGACGGGUAGCCGGCCUGAGAGGGUGACCGGCAACAUGGGGCUUGGGUAAGGCCCAGACUCCUACGGGAGGCAGCAGUGGGGAAUAUUGCACAAUGGGCGGAAGCCUGAUGCAGCAACGCCGCGUGCGGGAUGACGGCCUUCGGGUUGUAAACCGCUUUCGCCUGUGACGAAGCGUGAGUGACGGUAAUGGGUAAAGAAGCACCGGCUAACUACGUG